AACGAACGCUGGCGGCAGGCUUAACACAUGCAAGUCGAGCGCCCCGCAAGGGGAGCGGCAGACGGGUGAGUAACGCGUGGGUAUCUACCCAUCUCUACGGAAUAACGCAUGGAAACGUGUGCUGAUACCGUAUACGUCCUUCGGGAGAAAGAUUUAUCGGAGAUGGAUGAGCCCGCGUUGGAUUAGCUAGUUGGUGGGGUAAAGGCCUACCAAGGCGACGAUCCAUAGCUGGUCUGAGAGGAUGAUCAGCCACACUGGGACUGAGACACGGCCCAGACUCCUACGGGAGGCAGCAGUGGGGAAUAUUGGACAAUGGGCGCAAGCCUGAUCCAGCCAUGCCGCGUGAGUGAUGAAGGCCCUAGGGUUGUAAAGCUCUUUCACCGGUGAAGAUAAUGACGGUAACCGGAGAAGAAGCCCCGGCUAACUUCGUGCCAGCCGCCGCGGUAAAAC
rnacentral:rRNA from 1 species